GAGUUUGAUUCUGGCUCACGCAACGAACGCUGGCGGCAGGCUUAACACAUGCAAGUCGAGGGAGAAGCCUUUCUUCGGAGAGGUGGAAACCGGCGCACGGGUGAGUAACGCGUGGGCAUCUGUCCUGGAGUGGGGGAUAACCGCUGGAAACGGCGGCUAAUACCGCAUACGCCCUAAGGGGGAAAGAUUUAUCGCUCUGGGAUGAGCCCGCGUCCGAUUAGCUUGUUGGUGGGGUAAUGGCCUACCAAGGCGACGAUCGGUAGCUGGUCUGAGAGGAUGGUCAGCCACACUGGGACUGAGACACGGCCCAGACUCCUACGGGAGGCAGCAGUGGGGAAUAUUGGACAAUGGGCGCAAGCCUGAUCCAGCCAUGCCGCGUGAGUGAAGAAGGCCUUAGGGUUGUAAAGCUCUUUCACCCGUGAAGAUGAUGACGGUAGCGGGAGAAGAAGCCCCGGCUAACUCCGUGCCAGCAGCCGCGGUAAUACGGAGGGGGCGAGCGUUGUUCGGAAUUACUGGGCGUAAAGGGCGCGUAGGCGGGCUGGCCAGUCAGAGGUGAAAGUCCUGGGCUCAACCUGGGGACUGCCUUUGAAACUGCCAGUCUGGAGUCCGGGAGAGGAUGGCGGA
rnacentral:rRNA from 1 species